rnacentral:rRNA from 1 species
GAGUGGCGAACGGGUGAGUAACACGUGGGUGACCUGCCCUGCACUUCGGGAUAAGCCUGGGAAACUGGGUCUAAUACCGGAUAGGACCGCACCGUGAGGGUGUGGUGGAAAGUUUUUUCGGUGUGGGAUGGGCCCGCGGCCUAUCAGCUUGUUGGUGGGGUAAUGGCCUACCAAGGCGGCGACGGGUAGCCGGCCUGAGAGGGUGGACGGCCACAUUGGGACUGAGACACGGCCCAGACUCCUACGGGAGGCAGCAGUGGGGAAUAUUGCACAAUGGGCGGAAGCCUGAUGCAGCGACGCCGCGUGGGGGAUGACGGCCUUCGGGUUGUAAACUCCUUUCACCAUCGACGAAGGGUUUCUGACGGUAGAUGGAGAAGAAGCACCGGCUAACUACGUGCCAGCAGCCGCGGUAAUACGUAGGGUGCGAGCGUUGUCCGGAAUUACUGGGCGUAAAGAGCUCGUAGGUGGUUUGUCGAGCGUCGUCUGUGAAAUUCCGGGGCUUAACUCCGGGCGUGCAGGCGAUACGGGCAUAACUUGAGUACUGUAGGGGAGACUGGAAUUCCUGGUGUAGCGGUGAAAUGCGCAGAUAUCAGGAGGAACACCGGUGGCGAAGGCGGGUCUCUGGGCAGUAACUGACGCUGAGGAGCGAAAGCAUGGGGAGCGAACAGGAUUAGAUACCCUGGUAGUCCAUGCCGUAAACGGUGGGCGCUAGGUGUGGGUUUCCUUCCACGGGAUCCGUGCCGUAGCUAACGCAUUAAGCGCCCCGCCUGGGGAGUACGCCGCAAGGCUA